rnacentral:rRNA from 1 species
GUAGGUGGCAAGCGUUGUCCGGAAUUAUUGGGCGUAAAGCGCGCGCAGGCGGUUCUUUAAGUCUGAUGUGAAAGCCCUCGGGCUCAACCGUGGAGGGUCAUUGGAAACUGGAGAACUUGAGUACAGAAGAGGAAAGCGGAAUUCCACGUGUAGCGGUGAAAUGCGUAGAGAUGUGGAGGAACACCAGUGGCGAAGGCGGCUUUCUGGUCUGUAACUGACGCUGAGGCGCGAAGGCGUGGGGAGCAAACAGGAUUAGAUACCCUGGUAGUCCACGCCGUAAACGAUGAGUGCUAAGUGUUAGGGGGUUUCCGCCCCUUAGUGCUGCAGCUAACGCAUUAAGCACUCCGCCUGGGGAGUACGGCCGCAAGGCUG